rnacentral:rRNA from 1 species
UGAGUAACACGUAUCCAACCUGCCGUCUACUCUUGGACAGCCUUCUGAAAGGAAGAUUAAUACAAGAUGGCAUCAUGAAUUCACAUGUUCACAUGAUUAAAGGUAUUCCGGUAGACGAUGGGGAUGCGUUCCAUUAGAUAGUAGGCGGGGUAACGGCCCACCUAGUCUUCGAUGGAUAGGGGUUCUGAGAGGAAGGUCCCCCACAUUGGAACUGAGACACGGUCCAA